GCCCUCUUCCCCCUCCUCCUCUAAAUAUAAACUAAAAUAUUCUAGCAGCCCAGUAAAGAAGAUUAAAAAACUUUUAAGAGCUAUAAACUUGUACCGCAAGGGAAAGAUGAAAUAAAAGUGAAAUAAAUUUCAAGCAAGAAAAAGUAGAGACUUGCCCUCGUACCUUUUGCAUCAUGGUUUAGCUAGUCUAACUAGGCAAAAAGACUUUAAGUCUAACCUCCCGAAACUAAGUGAGCUAAUUUAGGGCCGCUUAAUGAGCCCACCCAUCUAUGUUGCAAAAUAGUGGGAAGACCCUAAAAUAGAAGUGACAGACCUAACGAACUUAGUUAUAGCUGGUUCCUCAAGAAAAGAAUUAGUCCAACCUAAAAUAAUAUUAACCCACUUAAUUACCCCUAUUAUUUUAGAGCAAUUCAAAUGAGGUUCAGCCCAUUUGAUACAGGAUCCAACCCUCACUAACGGGUAAUAACUUAUUUACAUCUAGAAGUAGGCCUAAGAGCAGCCAUCUUUUAAAAAGCGUCAAAGCUUAACUAUGUUAACCCCAAUUCGUAAACCCACACCGACCCCUUUAACAGUACUGAGGACCUCUAUAAUCCUAUAGAGCCUUUUAUGCUAAAACUAGUAACAAGAGAUCUCCUCUCCUAAUGCAAACAUAACCCAGCAAGAACCAAUCACUGGCAAUUAACAGAAUAAUAUAAAUGUAGCAACCUCACUAGAAAACUCUACUUUAACUAACUGUUAACCUAACACCAGAGCAUUUCAAGAAAGAUUAAAAGGGGGAGAAGGAAUUCGGCAAAGAAUCAGCCUCGCCUGUUUACCAAAAACAUCGCCUCUCGAUCCCAUGAGAGGUCCAGCCUGCCCAGUGACUCUGUUCAACGGCCGCGGUAUCCUAACCGUGCGAAGGUAGCGUAAUCAUUUGUCUUCUAAAUAAAGACCUGUAUGAAAGGCAUCACGAAGGCUAAACUGUCUCCUCCCCCUAAUCAGUGAACCUAAUCUCCCCGUGAAGAAGCGGGGAUUCUUCUAUAAGACGAGAAGACCCUAUGGAGCUUUAAACAUCAUAACACUGCCACAACUAACAACUAUCCAGAUAUUUCUCCCCAUGGCACCCUGAUUAUAAGUUUUUGGUUGGGGUGACCGCGGAGAAAAAUUUAUCCUCCACAAUGAAAGGGGCCCUCCCCUAAACAAUAAGUUACAACUUUAUGUAUCAACAAUUUGACAUCCAUUGACCCAACAAAUUGAUCAACGAACCAAGUUACCCUAGGGAUAACAGCGCAAUCCACUUUGAGAGCCCCUAUCGACAAGUGGGCUUACGACCUCGAUGUUGGAUCGGGAUAACCUAGUGGUGCAGCCGCUACUAAAGGUUCGUUUGUUCAACGAUUAAAACCCCACGUGAUCUGAGUUCAGACCGGAGCAAUCCAGGUCGGUUUCUAUCUAUAAAACAGCUCUUUUCAGUACGAAAGGACCAAAAUAGCAUGGCCAAUACUUAUAUAAGCCAUAGCAACCAAUUUUUGACCUCAGCUCAAAAAAUUAUCGCUCCCCUUCACCCCCCU
rnacentral:rRNA from 1 species